rnacentral:misc_RNA from 1 species
GGUCUUGUUGUUCUAUCUGAAAGUUUUGGGCAUUCUGUAUUUAAGGACUCUUUCAAGCAUAUAUUUGAAGACGGAGAACAGUCUCUUGGUCUUUGUUUCAAUGGAAUGCUUGAGAUUAACUGUUCGAAGGACAUUAAAGUUCAAGGGAUCAUUGGACCUUGCACGUCUAUGGAAAAGAAAGGACCUAAUGUUGCUGAUACAGUUGUGGGGGAGGGAAAUACUACCGCUUGGAAGAUGUGUGGUCUUGACAAGAGCACUUGUUUGACUGUCUUAUUUGAUCUUUCAUCCAGUGAGAGGUCAAAUACUCCAGGAACUGUAAAUCCACAGUUAUAUACAUUCAAUUCCUUACAAGUUAUCAGAACCCUGAAGGUCAUACAUUGCUUCGGGUCACUACUGUUACUAGAAGAUGGAUAGAUAGUGCUGUUAGCUCAGAGGAAUUAGUACAAGGUUUUGACCAAGAGACUGCUGCUGUGG